rnacentral:siRNA from 1 species
GGGAAUGGUCAUGAUGUCUAUGUG